CAAUAGCGUAUAUUAAAGCUGUUGCGGUUAAAAAGCUCGUAGUUGGAUUUCUGUCAAGGACAACUGGUCCGCCCUCCGGGUGAGCACAUAGUUUGGUCUUGGCAUCUUGCUGGAAGCUGUUGCUGCACUUGGCUGUGUGGCGCAGCGUCCAGCACUUUCACUUUGAGGAAAUUGGAGUGUUUCAAGCAGGCACAUGCCUUUGGACACAGUAGCAUGGAAUAAUUAGAUUGGGCUUUUGCUCCAAUUUGUCGGUUUCUGGAGCUGAGGUGAGAAUUAAUGGGGAUCGUUGGGGGCAUCCGAAUUUAGCCGUCAGAGGUGAAAUUCUUGGAUCUGCUAAAGACGGACAACUGCGAAAGCGUUUGCCCAGGAUGUUUUCAUUGA
rnacentral:rRNA from 1 species